rnacentral:tRNA from 1 species
AGAAAUGUGGCUCAGUUGUAGUGUGCAUGCCUAGCAAGUAUGAUGUUGUGAGUUAAAACUUCACUAUUACCC